rnacentral:rRNA from 1 species
UACGUAGGGGGCAAGCGUUGUCCGGAUUUAUUGGGCGUAAAGGGCGCGUAGGCGGUUUCUUAAGUUUGAAGUGACAGUGGGUGGCUUAACUACCCAAGGCCUUUGAAAACUGGGGAACUUGAGGACCAGAGAGGGACAUAGAAUUCCGGGUGGAGUGGUGAAAUGCGUAGAUAUCCGGAGGAAAACCCAAGGCGAAGGGAGGGGCCUGGAGGGUUAACUGACGCUGAGGCGCGAAAGCUAGGGGAGCGAACAGG